CAAUCGAACCCGGAGAUAGCUGGUUCUCCUCGAAAUAGCUUUAGGGCUAGCCUCGAUUUAGUCUUAUGGAGGUAGAGCACUGAAUUUCCGCGGGGGCGUCAAAGCUUACCAAAGAAUAUCAAACUCCGAAUGCCAUGUAGAUGAUGAAUGGGAGUCAGACUGCACGAGAUAAGUUGGGCAGUCAAAAGGGAAAGAGCCCAGACCACCGGCUAAGGUCCCAAAGUGCGUGUUAAGUGGAAAAGGAUGUGGGAAUUCGAAGACAACUAGGAUGUUGGCUCAGAAGCAGCCAUACAUUCAAAGAGUGCGUAACAGCUCACUAGUCGAGAGUUCCUGCGCCGAAAAUGUCCGGGGCUGAAACACGACACCGAAGCCGUGGACUCGCAAUGCGAGUGGUAGAGGAGCAUUCUUAAAACCGACGAAGCUGUACCGGAAGGAGCAGUGGAGGGAUAAGAAGAGAGAAUGCCGGAAUGAGUAGCGAGAGAAAGGUGAGAAUCCUUUCGGCCGAAUAUCUAAGGUUUCCAGAGUAAAGCUGAUCUGCUCUGGGUAAGUCGGGGCCUAAGCACAGGUCGCAAGACGUAAGCGAUGGAUAACAGGUUUAGAUUCCUGUACCACGCAUUAUCAGAACUGUAGGGACGCAUGUGGAAAGCACGAGCCGGGAAUGGAAAGACCGGUACAAGCGGGGUAGGAGUACAAUAGGCAAAUCCGUUGUAUGAUCCGAAGACGUGAUGUGGAGCGAAAUAAAGUAGUGAAGCGUGUGAGCCAUGUGCCGAGAAAAGCUGCUAUUGUGUAAUGCGUGCCCGUACCGUAAACCGACACAGGUGGAUGAGGAGAGAAUCCUAAGGCCGACGGAAGAAGUAUUGUUAAGGAACUCGGCAAAAUGACCCCGUAACUUCGGGAGAAGGGGUGCCCACGGGAGUGGGCCGCAGAGAAUAGGCUCAAGCAACUGUUUAGCAAAAACACAGGUCUAUGCGAAACCGAAAGGUGAAGUAUAUGGGCUGACGCCUGCCCGGUGCUGGAAGGUUAAGAGGAGAGGUUAGCGCAAGCGAAGCUUUGAAUUUAAGCCCCAGUAAACGGCGGCCGUAACUAUAACGGUCCUAAGGUAGCGAAAUUCCUUGUCGGGUAAGUUCCGACCCGCACGAAAGGCGUAAUGAUUUGAGCGCUGUCUCGACAAUGCAUCCGGUGAAAUUGAAGUACCAGUGAAGAUGCUGGUUACCCGCGCCAGGACGGAAAGACCCCAUGGAGCUUUACUCCAGUUUGAUACUGGGAUUCGGUACUGCAUGUACAGGAUAGGUGGGAGACAAAGAAGGAUGGACGCCAGUCUGUCCGGAGUCGCUGUUGGGAUACCACCCCUGUAGUACUGGGUUUCUAACCAGUUACCAUGAUCUGGUAAUGGGACAAUGUCAGGCGGGGAGUUUGACUGGGGCGGUCGCCUCCGAAAGGGUAUCGGAGGCGCUCAAAGGUUCCCUCAGAAUGGUUGGAAACCAUUUGAAGAGUGCAAAGGCAGAAGGGAGCUUGACUGCGACACCGACGGGUGGAGCAGGU
rnacentral:rRNA from 1 species